UACGUAGGGUGCAAGCGUUAAUCGGAAUUACUGGGCGUAAAGCGUGCGCAGGCGGUGAUGUAAGACAGAUGUGAAAUCCCCGGGCUCAACCUGGGAACUGCAUUUGUGACUGCAUCGCUGGAGUGCGGCAGAGGGGGAUGGAAUUCCGCGUGUAGCAGUGAAAUGCGUAGAUAUGCGGAGGAACACCGAUGGCGAAGGCCAUCCCCUGGGCCUGCACUGACGCUCAUGCCCGAAAGCGUGGGGAGCAAACAGG
rnacentral:rRNA from 1 species